UUUUUAUACAGAGGCGUGGAGAGACAGGCUCUGCGAAACGCCGGCAACCACCAGCGGGGUAACUCCCGGGAACGGUGCCAAGUCCUGACCAUAUAAAAA
rnacentral:ncRNA from 2 species